AUACUGACUUGGGGAGAUACUAGGACCACAAGGUGGUUUGCCCAGGGCACGGCUCAUCCACUAGACUCUGGAUGUGCUGACUCCUGUGAGUUCCCCAAAUGUGGAAAACUCACACCAUCUGUGGUAGUGGGGGACUGCAUUCCUGUUCUCCCUUC
ensembl:snRNA U1 U1 spliceosomal RNA